GACGAGGGAUCCUAGCGUUGUUCGGAAUCAUUGGGCGUAAAGCGGAUGUAGGUGGCUUUGUAAGUCAGGUGUGAAAGCCCAGAGCUCAACUCUGGAAGUGCAUUUGAUACUGCGAAGCUUGAGUGUGGAAGAGGUAAGUAGAAUACCUGGUGUAGUGGUGAAAUACGUAGAUAUCAGGUGGAAUACCGGAGGCGAAGGCGGCUUACUGGUCCAACACUGACACUGAGAUCCGAAAGCGUGGGGAUCAAACAGGAUUAG
rnacentral:rRNA from 1 species